GGUGGAGUUCCCGAGCGGUUAAAGGGAGCAGACUGUAAAUUUGCCGUCUAACGACUUCGAAGGUUCGAAUCCUUCCUCCACCA
rnacentral:tRNA from 1 species